rnacentral:rRNA from 1 species
UAUGGCUAUAACCACCUUCAGUGUGCCUGAUCUCAUAUGUUCUUGGAAGCUAAGCAGGGUCUGGCCUAGUUAGUAUUUGGAUGGGAGAUAACCACGAAUUUGCUGUUU